UGUAACAACUCUCAACAACGGAUAUCUCGACUCUCACAUCGAUGAAAAACAUAGCAAAAUGCGAUACUUUGUGUGAAUUGGAGAAUCCCACGAACCAUCAAGUCUUUGAAUGCAAGUUAAGCAUGAAGCCUUCCUGUCAAGCGCACAUCUGUUGGAUGUCACAC
rnacentral:rRNA from 1 species